AUUGCUUCUUGGUCUUUCAGCUAAGAUCAAGUGUAGUAUCUGCUUUUAUUAGUUUAAUGUCUGAUAUGUCCUCUAUUUAAGGGUGCAAUAGUAAGUGGAUUUUUGGUACAGGAAGAUAAAGUGUGGAGCUUGCUUUAUUCACUACAUGCAGUCAUCUGGUGUUGUUCCCUUGGGGGUAACCAUC